UGGGGAAUUUUGGACAAUGGGCGAAAGCCUGAUCCAGCAAUGCCGCGUGUGUGAAGAAGGCCUUCGGGUUGUAAAGCACUUUUGUCCGGAAAGAAAUCCUUGGCUCUAAUACAGUCGGGGGAUGACGGUACCGGAAGAAUAAGCACCGGCUAACUACGUGCCAGCAGCCGCGGUAAUACGUAGGGUGCAAGCGUUAAUCGGAAUUACUGGGCGUAAAGCGUGCGCAGGCGGUUUGCUAAGACCGAUGUGAAAUCCCCGGGCUAACCUGGGAACUGCAUUGGUGACUGGCAGGCUAGAGUAUGGCAGAGGGGGGUAGAAUUCCACGUGUAGCAGUGAAAUGCGUAGAGAUGUGGAGGAAUACCGAUGGCGAAGGCAGCCCCCUGGGCCAAUACUGACGCUCAUGCACGAAAGCGUGGGGAGCAAACAGGAUUAGAUACCCUGGUAGUCCACGCCCUAAACGAUGUCGACUAGUUGUUGGGGGAUUCAUUUCCUUAGUAACGUAGCUAACGCGUGAAGUUGACCGCCUGGGGAGUACGGUCGCAAGAUUAAAACUCAAAGGAAUUGACGGGGUCAUAGCUGUUUCCU
rnacentral:rRNA from 1 species